CAUUAAUAAUAUAAUGCCAUAUUUUUUAAUAGAUUAAAAAUAUAAAUAACAACUGUACAAAAGUUAACGUUCAUUAUUAUUAUUAUUAUUAUUAUUACUAUUGAUAUAAUAUGUUGUAUAUGUAGCCUACAUUGCGUGUUUGCAUAAAAGAGCAGGUUAAUCCUUUUUUGAACAGGUUUGUUGAAAAAUCCUUCUCGAAAGAAUCGUAUUUCCAAAGUACUGUCAACUGACCACAUCUUCUUCCGCUUGUCAAAAUAGUUCUGCUCAGUUUGGUGUUUUAUUACGGAUUUAUUCUCAUAGUACCGUUUCAUAAUUUGAUAUAAUAAUAUAAUAAUAUGCUGAUAUUAAAAUAAAAAAAAAUAAAAAAUGUAAUAUUCGAACUGAAGGAAUUCCCGCCCUAGCGCAAGGACACAUUCUCCUCCAAGCACGCAGUGGAGCUGCUGCGCGCGCAGAAGGAAUAACUCGACCUUCAGUUUCACGGUCAAUCUUCAAUCUGAGGCGAAAAUAAGCAGAUAAGUUCAGUGAGUGCUAAAACCAUGGUCAACAUGAAAGGUCAUAGUUAACGACCACAUCACCAUCUUCUGCAACGCUCUGAUGUUUGCUUCAUACAACUGCUUGAACAUUUCAUACCCAGGAAACCAAGGAGAAACGCAAGAGAUUGUGCAAAGAUUCCUUUUUAAGAUGAACCCCGAGAAGGGAUCGAAAGUGGAGAAGACCACAUCGAGAAAGAAAUCAGCAGUCAGUCCAAAGGUUCUUUCACUGAUUAACAAGAUUGCGGACUUUGAAAGGAUGGAGUAAAACUUGGAGUGUCAGAUCUUCCUACAUUGCCUAGCAGAAAUUCUUGACAGUGUCAAAGACUUAAAAUACUUGCUGAUUAUUUGCUUUCAUGGUUGAUUUUUUUUUUUUUUUAAUGCAUCAUCUGUUGUCAAGAUGAAUUAAUCUGUUCACAGGUGGUUCAGUUUUAAGGACAAAUUAAUUCUUAUUUUUUAUUUGUUUACCAAUUUGCUAUAUUGUUGCAGUUUUGAACAAUUCUUUUGUGUGUUGUUGCAGUUAUUAAAUAUAUAUAUAUAUAUAUAUAUAUAUAUAUAUAUGAAGAGUUCAGAUGCAAAAGCCUCUAAAUGCCAUCUGAAAUUUUCAUCUAAAAUUUGGAUUUUUAUCAGGCUCCUAUAUUUAUUUUCAGUUAUUUCACUUUAAUAGUCUGGCAAUGGACCUGCACAUUGCCAUUAAAGUAAAAUGACUCAACUUAAGCAUAGGAGCUUGAUAAAAAUCCCAAUUUUAGAUGAAAAUUUCAGAUGGCAUUUAGAGGCUUUUGCAUCUGAACUCUUCAUAUAUACUGUUGCAGUUAUGAAAAAAAACUGAAUUGUAUGUGGUUGCAGUUGUGAUCUAAUUUAAACUUUUGGGCUUAUUUUUUUAUUGGAAUAUUGUUGCAGUUUAGCUAUAAUCUCUAUACUGGUAUAUUGUUGCAGUUUUGUACAAAGAAUAUUAGUAAAUUGCAGUCCUGAACAAACUAUUUGUAUAUUCUUGCAGAUUGGUCAAUAAAUUAUUAAAACACA